GUGGGGAAUAUUGGACAAUGGGGGGAACCCUGAUCCAGCCAUGCCGCGUGUGUGAAGAAGGCCUUUUGGUUGUAAAGCACUUUAAGCGAGGAGGAGGCUACCGAGAUUAAUACUCUUGGAUAGUGGACGUUACUCGCAGAAUAAGCACCGGCUAACUCUGUGCCAGCAGCCGCGGUAAUACAGAGGGUGCAAGCGUUAAUCGGAUUUACUGGGCGUAAAGCGCGCGUAGGUGGCCAAUUAAGUCAAAUGUGAAAUCCCCGAGCUUAACUUGGGAAUUGCAUUCGAUACUGGUUGGCUAGAGUAUUGGAGAGGAUGGUAGAAUUCCAGGUGUAGCGGUGAAAUGCGUAGAGAUCUGGAGGAAUACCGAUGGCGAAGGCAGCCAUCUGGCCUAAUACUGACACUGAGGUGCGAAAGCAUGGGGAGCAAACAGGAUUAGAUACCCCGGUAGUCC
rnacentral:rRNA from 1 species